rnacentral:rRNA from 1 species
AGCGAACGCUGGCGGCGUGCCUAACACAUGCAAGUCGAACGUGAAAGGGAGCAAUCCCAAGUAAAGUGGCGUACGGGUGAGUAACACGUAGGUAAUCUACCCCAGAAUCUGGAAUAACCGGCCGAAAGGCUGGCUAAUACUGGAUAGAGCGACGGAAUCCGUAAUUGGGUUUUUCGGGAAAGGGAGCCUGUAAAAAGGCCUUCGUUCUGGGAUGAGCCUGCGUCCCAUCAGCUAGUUGGUGAGGUAAAAGCUUACCAAGGCAAGGACGGGUAGCUGGUCGGAGAGGACGAUCAGCCACACUGGAGCUGAAACACGGUCCAGACUCCUACGGGAGGCAGCAGUGGGGAAUCUUGCGCAAUGGACGAAAGUCUGACGCAGCAACGCCGCGUGAGUGAAGAAGGCCGUCGGGUUGUAAAGCUCUGUCGAGUGGGACGAAAAUGCUUGGAGUUCACAGCUCCAGGAACUGACGGUACCACUAAAGGAAGCACCGGCUAACUCCGUG